rnacentral:rRNA from 1 species
GACGAACGCUGGCGGCGUGCUUAACACAUGCAAGUCGAACGGAAAGGCCCUGCUUUUGUGGGGUGCUCGAGUGGCGAACGGGUGAGUAACACGUGAGUAACCUGCCCUUGACUUUGGGAUAACUUCAGGAAACUGGGGCUAAUACCGGAUAGGAGCUCCUGCUGCAUGGUGGUGGUUGGAAAGUUUCGGCGGUUGGGGAUGGACUCGCGGCUUAUCAGCUUGUUGGUGGGGUAGUGGCUUACCAAGGCUUUGACGGGUAGCCGGCCUGAGAGGGUGACCGGCCACAUUGGGACUGAGGUACGGACCAGACUCCUACGGGAGGCAGCAGUGGGGAAUAUUGCACAAUGGGCGGAAGCGUGAUGCAGCAACGCCGGGUGCGGGAUGACGGCCUUCGGGUUGUAAACCGCUUUCGCCUGUGACGAAGCGUGAGUGACGGUAAUGGGUAAAGAAGCACCGGCUAACUACGUG